GAUGAACGCUGGCGGCGUGCCUUUCACAUGCAAGUCGAACGAGGUCCAUGGAGCUUGCUCCGGACGACCUAGUGGCGAACGGGUGCGUAACACGUGAGAAACCUGCCCCGAUCUCUGGAAUAACAGUUGGAAACGACUGCUAAUACCGGAUGUCACCGGUGCACCACCUGGUGCGCCGAUGAAAGAUUUAUCGGAUUGGGAGGGUCUCGCGGCCUAUCAGCUAGUUGGAGAGGUAACGGCUCACCAAGGCAUCGACGGGUAGCUGGUCUGAGAGGAUGAUCAGCCACACUGGGACUGAGACACGGCCCAGACUCCUACGGGAGGCAGCAGUGGGGAAUCUUGCACAAUGGGCGCAAGCCUGAUGCAGCAACGCCGCGUGCGGGAAGAAGGCCCUAGGGUUGUAAACCGCUUUCAGUAGGGAAGAAAAUGACGGUACCUACAGAAGAAGGUGCGGCCAACUACGUG
rnacentral:rRNA from 1 species